UACGUAGGGGCCUAGCGUUGUCCGGAUUUAUUGGGCGUAAAGAGCUCGUAGGCGGUUCGGCAAGUCGGAUGUGAAAUCUCCACGCUUAACGUGGAGGGGCCAUUCGAAACUGCCGUGACUCGAGUCCGGUAGGGGAGUGUGGAAUUCCCGGUGUAGCGGUGAAAUGCGCAGAUAUCAGGAAGAACACCCGUGGCGAAGGCGGCUCUCUGGGACGUGACUGACGCUGAGACGCGAAAGCGUGGGGAGCGAACAGG
rnacentral:rRNA from 1 species